UAUCACUAAGCGGAGGAAAAGAAACUAACAAGGAUUCCCUUAGUAACGGCGAGUGAACAGGGAAGAGCCCAGCACCGAAGCCUGUGGCCAUUUGGUCUCUAGGCAAUGUGGUGUUUAGGUCAGCUCGCGGAGACACUGUCCCACUCUAAGUCCAGCAAUGAGACUGGUAUCUGGACAUGGCCCAAAGAGGGUGAAAGGCCCGUGAGGGUGGGAACUCAGACAUGCCAGUGUCUCCCUGAGUAGACCUUGGAGUCGGGUUGUUUGUGAAUGCAGCCCAAAGUGGGUGGUAAACUCCAUCCAAGGCUAAAUACUAACACGAGUCCGAUAGCGAACAAGUACCGUGAGGGAAAGUUGAAAAGUACUUUGAAGAGAGAGUAAACAGUGCGUGAAACCGCUCAGAGGUAAACGGGUGGAGUUGAACUGCAAAGCUCCGAGAAUUUAACUGGUGAGUGUGGUAUACACUUGGAUAUAUUGGUUGGCCCUCAAAGUCUGCAGAAAACUGUGGAGGCUGUGCUAACGCGCGGCGUGCGUUGAAGCGCUUAUCAAGCGCUGUGCUCUUUGGGGGUACUUCGAACCUGCUUGCCAGUGCAUUUUCUCAGAGUGAUCACCACGACCGGCGCUGCUGUCUGUCUGCUGUGGUUAAACCGGGUGUGUAUCGUCCUUGUGGCUUUGCAUACUCGGGAUGGCAGGUAACCCGAUUGUGCUUGUCACGAUUGGGUGUAAUCAGCUGACCAUAGUAGUACUGUGCAGUGCGUCGGAGACGGCGGCUUGUGGUGCGUACAUGCGUGCAUGUUGAGUGGCGGCUUUGGGUCUGGUUAUACUGUAGCCUGUAAAAACAGGCCAUGUAAUGGCCCAGGGUUGUUCACUUGAUGGUUGCGUAUGGGGCACUUUAAUGGGCCUACAGUCUGUGGUGUAGUGGUAGACGAUCCACCGA
rnacentral:rRNA from 1 species